UACGUAGGGUGCAAGCAUUAAUCGGAAUUACUGGGCGUAAAGCGUGCGCAGGCGGUUUUGUAAGUUUGUCGUGAAAUCCCCGGGCUCAACCUGGGAAUGGCGAUGAAGACUGCAAGGCUAGAGUUUGGCAGAGGGGGGUAGAAUUCCACGUGUAGCAGUGAAAUGCGUAGAUAUGUGGAGGAACACCGAUGGCGAAGGCAGCCCCCUGGGUCAAAACUGACGCUCAUGCACGAAAGCGUGGGGAGCAAACAGG
rnacentral:rRNA from 1 species